rnacentral:rRNA from 1 species
CAGUCGCCACGGGAAUACGUAGGGUGCGAGCGUUAAUCGGAAUUACUGGGCGUAAAGCGUGCGCAGGCGGUUCGUUAAGACAGAUGUGAAAUCCCCGGGCUUAACCUGGGAACUGCAUUUGUGACUGGCGAGCUAGAGUAUGGCAGAGGGGGGUAGAAUUCCACGUGUAGCAGUGAAAUGCGUAGAGAUGUGGAGGAAUACCGAUGGCGAAGGCAGCCCCCUGGGCCAAUACUGACGCUCAUGCACGAAAGCGUGGGGAGCAAAUAGGAUUAGAUACCCCGGUAGUCCCUGUCUCUUAUAC